rnacentral:rRNA from 1 species
CUGGCUCAGGACGAACGCUGGCGGCGUGCCUAAUACAUGCAAGUCGAGCGGACAGAUGGGAGCUU